rfam:Asian citrus Psyllid, Diaphorina citri - Florida Strain, whole genome shotgun sequence.
GCUCCCUUGGCGUAGUGGUCACUGCGCUUACCUUGUACGUGGGAGACCCGGGUUCAAUUCCUGGUGGGGUUA